GCCGGUGUGGUGGAAUUGGUAGACACGAGGGAUUUAAAAUCCCUUUCCCGCGAGGGAGUGCCGGUUCAAGUCCGGCCACCGGUACCA
rnacentral:tRNA from 5 species